rnacentral:rRNA from 1 species
GACGAACGCUGGCGGCGUGCUUAACACAUGCAAGUCGAACGCUGAACCCGCUUCGGUGGGGGAUGAGUGGCGAACGGGUGAGUAACACGUGGGCAACCUGCCCCCGGCUCUGGGAUAACUCCAAGAAAUUGGGGCUAAUACCGGAUGUGACCGCUGGCCGCAUGGUCUGGUGGUGGAAAGGGUUUCCGGCUGGGGAUGGGCCCGCGGCCUAUCAGCUUGUUGGUGGGGUAGUGGCCUACCAAGGCGACGACGGGUAGCCGGCCUGAGAGGGUGACCGGCCACUGGGGACUGAGACACGGCCAGGACCCCUAGGGGGGGAAGCAGGGGGGAUUAUGCGGCAAGGGCCGGAGGCCGAACGCAGCGACGCGGGGUGGGGAUGACGGCCUUCGGGUUGUAAACCUCUUUCAGCAGGGACGAAGCGCAAGUGACGGUGCCUGCAGAAGAAGCACCGGCCAACUACGUG